UCUGCAGUUCGCAGUCGUGCAGUCGGCAGUCGUAUAACAACCACGCCAUGUUCACAAUAGACAGCAGUUUGCAGUCGGGUAGGCUACACAUUUCGACUAGCUUUCUACCAAAGAAAUACCAAGUUGUAUGCAUACAAAUAUACACAUAUUUCACAAUUGUAAAUCAUUAGCCGAGGUAUCAUGGAUGACGACGAUAUUUUGCUCUUCGCAACAUGGGCUGUGUUACUUGGUACAGCAUAUUUGAGUCUAGCUGGCCGAGGGGCAAGAGGAUACUGGGUUCAUUCUGACAACAGAAAUACUGUAUAUUCUCAGGGUGAAUAUUUCACUUUGUUUCAAACGAUGAAAACCAGUAGCCACGACCGGUUUCAGAAGUACACUAGGAUGGAAGUGUGGCAAUGGAAUACCCUCUUGGAGAUGGUGAAACCAUUCUUGAAGAAAACUUCAAUCAGAGCUGCAAUAAGUGUUGAAGAGAGAUUGGCUAUCACAAUAAGGUAUCUUGCUCAUGGAGGCACCCAGAGAUCAGUAUCUUGGACAAUCAGAAGGGGUUUCUCAACAGUGAACCACAUUAUUUCAGAAACAUAUGAUGCAAUUUGGGCAGCACUAUCAGAGGUGUAUGUGAAUGUCCCAAACUGGGAAGAAUGGGAAUGUAUCAUUACUGACUUCUGGAACACCUGGAAUUUUCCCAAUUGUUUUGGGGCUCUGGAUGGGAAGCAUAUAGACAUUAGGUGUCCUCGUAAUGCAGGAAGUCAAUACUUCAAUUAUAAGAAAAGGAAUAGUAUCAUAUUGAUGGCUAUGUGCAAUGCUCAAUAUGAAUUUACAUGGGUGGAUAUUGGAGCAUAUGGUUCACAAAAUGACUGCAGUGUUUUUUUCUAGAUCUCUUAUUGGGAGAGCUCUAUUACAUAAUGACCUUGACCUUCCAGUUGACAGAAAUCUUCCUGAUUGUGACUUGCUUAUGCCAGUUUGGUGUGUGGCAGACCAGGCGUUUCCUUUAUCCAGACACAUGAGGCCCUAUGCUGGUCACAACUUGCCAGAUGAAAAAAGGAUUUUUAAUUACAGAAUAAGCCGUGCACGGCGCACAAUUGAAAACACUUUUGGAAUUAUGUCUACUAGGUGGCAGAUAUUUCAGAUGCGCCUACAAGCACAGCCACAAGUGGUUGAAAAGUAUGUGCUGGCUUGCAUAUGUCUGCACAACUUUAUAAUGAGUACUAGAACAGAGGGCACUUCACAGUACUGUCCUCCAGGCUAUGUGUACAGAGAAGAGGGGAAUGGUAUAGUAACUGAAGGUGAAUGGAGACAGCAGGUGAGUAAUACACCUCUUCUGCAAGAUAUGGGAAGAGUCGGCACAAAUAACCCUGGAAGGGCUACAGCAAACUUGAGGGAUAGGCUAAGUGCCUUUUUGAAUGGGCCAAGCGGAGCGGUCCCUUGGCAAAAUACCAUAGUAAAUGAAGGGUGGCAGUGUAAGUUCCUGCAAUAUAUCAAAGUAAAAUAUUACUGUUUGUACUCUAAUUAUUACCUGUAAUUAUGUUAAAUAUUUUGGUUAAUUUUCCUGGAAAAGUAAAAAGACAUCACAUAGUAAAAUGGAAGAUCAAAUGAUAAGCAAGUUAAAAACCAAUAAAAUUGGAAUAAGUGGGAAUCCGUUUCAAUUCUAUUAACCUGCAAAAACUGUAAAUACAAAUGUUUUUUGUUCACAUUGUUUCUUAUAAACUUGUCAUUGGAUUGUUUGAUUACUAUUCGAUUGAAAUUGUAUGAGUUGCUGGUCUUUGCCACACACAUUCUUCAGUAAGAGUAGCUAAUGUAAAUUUUGUUUAGUUUCUUAAAGACUGUUGUUCCUCUGUAUAAUUUGGGGAUGACAUUGUUAUAAUAUUAUAUGACGUAUUAGAAAUAAUUGUUACAUUAAAGCAUAUUGAAAUAUUUUCUACCUUUCAUUAAUUGUCUUGAACGAGAAGAGAUUCUAAUACUUGUGUGAUUGCAUUUCUAAUCAUUGUGGAACAUUGUAUGUUAUAUUUUUGGUAGUGUAGGCCUACAUCUCAAAAUCCUAUAAGGUAAUUUUUUUUUGACCGAUUGAAAAAAUUGUAUGGUAAAGACAUCAGCAUGGGGUGUUUUUUUUUUUUAAAUUUAAUUGUUAUGUCAAAAUGUCAUGUCAGAUGCAAUGUAUAAAAUGUACUAAGAACAUUACUACUUCCUUUAGUAGUAAAUUGCACACUGUAUAUCCAUGGCCUGAAUUUACCAAGUUUGUGCUUGUUGUUAAAAUAAAUAUGUGCUCA